rnacentral:rRNA from 1 species
AACGAACGCUGGCGGCGCGCCUAAUACAUGCAAGUCGAGCGAGAAGACGUAGCAAUACGUUUGUAAAGCGGCGAACGGGUGAGGAAUACAUGGGUAACCUACCCUCGAGUGGGGAAUAACUAGCCGAAAGGUUAGCUAAUACCGCGUACGCUUCUUGGACUUCGGUUCAGGGAGGAAAGCGAUACCGUGGGUAUCGCGCUCAUGGAUGGGCUCAUGUCCUAUCAGCUUGUUGGUGAGGUAACGGCUCACCAAGGCUUCGACGGGUAGCUGGUCUGAGAGGACGAUCAGCCACACUGGCACGGCGACACGGGCCAGACUCCUACGGGAGGCAGCAGUAAGGAAUAUUGCGCAAUGGGCGAAAGCCUGACGCAGCGACGCCGCGUGGGGGAUGAAGGUCUUCGGAUUGUAAACCCCUUUCGGGAGGGAAGAUGGAACGAGCAAUCGUUCGGACGGUACCUCCAGAAGCAGCCACGGCUAACUUCGUGCCAGCCGCCGCGGUAACAC